CUCUCUCUCUCUCUCUCUCUCUCUUGUUUUUCGGUUCCUCCUAAGCAAAAAAAGAUAAGCUUCUGUAAAAAUCAGAAUAUAUAUUAGACUGAGAGAGGGAUUUGGAGAAAUGCAAGUUGUUUUAAAGUGAAAGGGGUUCAAUACCAAGAACGAGAGCUCUUAUUACACAAUCCUCAAGUGAUUUGAGCCAUAUGUCUGAUUACACAUCACUCAGCAGCCAAAACCGCCUCACACGCGCCGAAUGUCCAACCUAUCUCCUGAUUCUCCGGCUGCCAAAUCGACUACACACUCGGUGAGCGUGGAACCACCGUCUUCGCACAAUGAAGCCCCUACACCGUCUUCUCUCUCUCUCUCAUUCACCAUUGCUUAAGAAUUGUGAAACUUCUCUUUCUUUCUGCAAAACCUAUUUCUAGGCAUUGAAAAUUUGUGUUUAUGCUAACGAGAUUAGCCCAAGAAUUUUCUAAAUUUUGAGUGUAUGAAUUAUGUUUGUAUCUGGACAAGAAAUAGAACUCAUUAGAUUGUUUAUUGUUAA